UUUAAGAAGGCUGAACUCCCAUGAGCCUUUGUUCUUUUUUAAACAGGUAGAGGGUGGAAGGGAGGCAGGUUUUGUGUUCUGGGUUCCUCCAUUUUGUGUAUGGUGGUGUGGUUUGUGUGCAGGUUCUGAAUGGGUUCCAGUUGGCUUUCAGGAUUUUAUUUACAAGAAAAUUAUAUUAAAUAAGAACUAUACCUACCUUGGAGCAUCUCUUGGACAACUUGUUGCUGUUGGACUGCCACUGGAACUACAGAAUAAGCAUCAACAAACAAACAAACAAACAGUCGGGUCUGUGAGGAUGAGAAGGUCUCCACAGUCUGGAGUCUGGUCUCUGACAGGCUCAACAUACCUGUCAAUCAACAGGGACUCCUCUACAAAGGCAAGGUGCUGGCAGGUAGGCUGAACAGCACAGCACAGCACAGCACAGCACAGCACAGCACAGCUCACCCCUCCUCUCACCCCUCGCCUCAUCCCUCCUCUCACUCCUCGCCUCACCCCGGGUCAGUGUGGCACAGCCUGCCUGCUCUUCUGAACAAACACUUCAGCCCUGCCGACGCAGUGAGAGUCUGGAGCAGCAACACAAGGUCUGUGAGGAUGAGAAGGUCUCCACAGUCUGGAGUCUGAUCUCUGACAGCCUCAACAUACCUGUCAAUCAACAGGGACUCCUCUACAAAGGCAAGGCGCUGGCAGGUGAUGAAGUGACACUUUGAAUAUGGGGCCUGAUGAGAGAAGUAUCCUUUUCAUGUGGUUUUGGUUUUGCCGUUGUGAGCAGGUGUGGGAGACAGCACCGUGUCUGCAUGUGAAAUAACAAAGUCAUCGCAGUGGAGGGACUCUCUGAAGGCUGCUGUUUGUGGAUUUGUCUUGUAAUGU